UACGUAGGGGGCAAGCGUUGUCCGGAAUCAUUGGGCGUAAAGCGCGCGUAGGCGGCCCGGUAAGUCCGCUGUAAAAGUCCAGGGCUCAACCCUGGAAAGCCGGUGGAUACUGUCGGGCUAGAGUCCGGAAGAGGCGAGUGGAAUUCCUGGUGUAGCGGUGGAAUGCGCAGAUAUCAGGAGGAACACCGAUGGCGAAGGCAGCUCGCUGGGACGGUACUGACGCUGAGGCGCGAAAGCUAGGGGAGCAAACGGG
rnacentral:rRNA from 1 species